rnacentral:lncRNA from 1 species
CGCACCGUUCUGCUGAAUCAAAUGCUUAAACUUCAGUACACACGCUGAUGUAAAACAUUGCCUAUGUAUUGGUCACAGUUCUAGGGAUCUCAUCCACCAACUGUGAAACAUUCACCUGAUCCAUCUUCUCACUUCAAAGAAAGACCACAGUUAUCUUGAUGAUGGAAUACCAUACCAGCUCUUUGACACACCACUGAAUCUCCAGUCUUGACUGUUUGGGGCUAAGUCCAUCAUGCUGGGCUGCCCGCAGGAUGAACUCUAACAUUUCACUGGGCAGUUGUGGGAGGUAGCCAACAACAACCUAUCCAAACCUACUGCUUGAAGACCACCACAUUGUGACAAACA